rnacentral:misc_RNA from 1 species
GCGGUGGGGAAUCGCAAGCUAGGCGUGCCGUUUAGGCAGGCCUAGCGUAAAGGAAAGUCCGGUCUCCUGGGUUGGGGUGCGGCUUACGCCAGUACGCAGCAAUGCAUGCGCACAUGAAGGCACAGCACAGCCCGGCUGAAGCCAGGCAUGGUGGGAGCGCAAUGCGCGUGGCAGAACGCCUGCUGCAAUGGCGCCCUUUGGAGUAACCCUAUACAAGCAGCGAACAGGAGGCACGGCGCGCUGCACCCGGUGCUGAACCUGCAGGUAAGGGGCUUAGAGUUAUGAUUCUGACACUGAAUCCGGCUUAUCACCGCCACA